rnacentral:misc_RNA from 1 species
AGAUGAAGAACGCAGUGAAAUGCGAUAAGUAGUGUGAAUUGCAGAAUUCAGUGAAUCAUCGAAUCUUUGAACGCACAUUGCGCCCCUUGGUAUUCCAUGGGGCAUGCCUGUUCGAGCGUCAUUGACACCCUCAAGCUCUGCUUGGUGUUGGGGCCGUUGUCGUUUCCCCGCCCCUCCCGGCGACACAGCGACACCCCUCAAAGUCAUUGGCGGCCUUUCUGCCCGGCUCCCCGCGCAGCAGUUAGCGCUUCGGAGACCCCUGGGCAGGCUGGCAUCCAUCAAGCUGACCCCUUUUACGCUUGACCUCGGAUCAGGUAGGGACACCCGCUGAACUUAAGCAUAUCAAUAAGCGGAGGA